rnacentral:tRNA from 1 species
GUUACUUUGGCAGAAAAGUGUGUUAGAUUUAGAAUCUUUUUAUGUAAGAUUAUUACAGGUAACA